rnacentral:lncRNA from 1 species
CAUCAACCUAAGGUAUGUUUUUUAUUAUCACCAUGUUCAUAUGUUUAUAUGAUUGAAUGACGUCAAGGGGGUUCUUGGGUUUAGGGUUUGAGUAAUCUAGGAUUUUAUAAUGCUAAAAAAUUUUAAAAUCCAUUAUGCUUUCAUUGUGCAUGUUAUUAUUGAACCCUUCAUGGUUUAGUCCCAAUGUUCUUUCUUUUAACCUGCAAAUUGGGCUCUUUGCAUUGGUGAUUAUCCUUUUUGCAAAACAAAAGCAAAAGCAUCAACCUUUAAGAA